CGAUCCUAAAGUUGUUAAACUUGUGCGCUUAUGCAAUUAUGCAAACUUUUGACUGAUGUACAAGAAUGUUAUCGGAUUUUGAUAUCAGAUACCAAUUUGUACUUUUAUUUACUUGGAUUAUUUGUGUUUCUUGCAGUUGCCACAAACAAUACCAUAAAAAUGUUUCUGACGAUUGCAUUUAUAAUUUCUUUUUGAAUGGAACUGUUUGUCAAGAAUGUCCAGCUGGGUAUUUUGGAAAAAACUGUUCAAUACCAUGCAUCCCUCCUGAUUAUGAAUGUUCGUGUAAUAAGCAAUGUAGCUGCCCAGUAUGCCAUUAUAUUGUAGGAUGU